CCUACGGGAGACAGCAGUGGGGAAUAUUGCGCAAUGGGCGAAAGCCUGACGCAGCGACGCCGCGUGCGGGAUGAAGGUCUUCCGAUCGUAAACCUCUGUCAGCAGGGAAGAAAGGUCCCUUUGCUAAUCAGCAUUGAAUUGACGGUACCUGCAAAGGAAGCACCGGCUAACUCCGUGCCAGCAGCCGCGGGAAUACGGAGGGUGCGGGCGUUAAUCGGAAUUACUGGGCGUAAAGCUAUCGUAGGCGGUCUGUCAAGUCAGGUGUGAAAGCCCCGCGCUCAACGUGGGAACUGCCUUUGAAACUGGCGAACUGGAGUGUGUGCGAGGAUGGCGGAAUUCCUGGUGUAGCGGUGAAAUGCGUAGAUAUCAGGCAGAACCUCAGUUGUGAAGGCAGCUAACUGGAGCAUAACUGACGCUGAGGCGCGAAAGCGUGGGUAGCAAACAGGAUUAGAUACCCGAGUAGUC
rnacentral:rRNA from 1 species